UAUGACGUGUAUCUGAAAUCAAGUGUGACGACCCCCUG
rnacentral:rRNA from 1 species